GCAGUCUGCAACUCGAGUGCAUGAAGCUGGAAUCGCUAGUAAUCGCGGAUCAGAAUGCCGCGGUGAAUACGUUCCCGGGUCUUGUACACACCGCCCGUCACACCAUGGGAGCCGACAACGCCCGAAGUCAGUGACCUAACCGAGAGGGAGGAGCUGCCGAAGGCGGGGUUGGUAACUGGGGUGAAGUCGUAACAAGGUACC
rnacentral:rRNA from 1 species